UAUCAAAACACAAAACGUAUA
rnacentral:piRNA from 1 species